ACCAGCAGCCAUAUCAGCAUGCAACUCCAGCCAGCCCACUGAAGAUCAGCAGGUGUGAGCCUGGCCAGUACCUGGAGGGGAGACCUCCUGGGAAAGCUGAGGCUGCUGCUGGGA
rnacentral:rRNA from 1 species